rnacentral:rRNA from 1 species
ACCGUGUACGUACAAGCAGUAGGAGCAGGCUUGUCCUGUGACUGCGUACCUUUUGUAUAAUGGGUCAGCGACUUAUAUUCAGUGGCAAGGUUAACCAUCUAGGGGAGCCGUAGGGAAACCGAGUCUUAACUGGGCGUUCAGUCUCUGGAUAUAGACCCGAAACCAGGUGAUCUAGCCAUGGGCAGGUUGAAGGUUGAGUAACAUCAACUGGAGGACCGAACCGACUAAUGUUGAAAAAUUAGCGGAUGACUUGUGGCUAGGGGUGAAAGGCCAAUCAAACCUGGAGAUAGCUGGUUCUCCCCGAAAGCUAUUUAGGUAGCGCCUCGGACGAAUACUACUGGGGGUAGAGCACUGUUAAGGCUAGGGGGUCAUCCCGACUUACCAACCCUUUGCAAACUCCGAAUACCAGUAAGUACUAUCCGGGAGACACACGGCGGGUGCUAACGUCCGUCGUGGAGAGGGAAACAACCCAGACCGCCAGCUAAGGUCCCAAAUUACUACUAAGUGGGAAACGAUGUGGGAAGGCUCAGACAGCCAGGAUGUUGGCUUAGAAGCAGCCAUCAUUUAAAGAAAGCGUAAUAGCUCACUGGUCGAGUCGGCCUGCGCGGAAGAUGUAACGGGGCUAAGUAGUAAACCGAAGCUGCGGCAAUGUGCUUUUGCACAUUGGGUAGGGGAGCGUUCUGUAAGCGGUUGAAGGUGUGUGGUAACGCAUGCUGGACGUAUCAGAAGUGCGAAUGCUGACAUGAGUAACGAUAAAGGGGGUGAAAAACCUCCUCGCCGGAAGACCAAGGGUUCCUGUCCAACGUUAAUCGGGGCAGGGUAAGUCGACCCCUAAGGCGAGGCCGAAAGGCGUAGUCGAUGGGAAACGGGUUAAUAUUCCCGUACUUCUUACAAUUGCGAUGGGGGGACGGAGAAGGCUAGGUGGGCCUGGCGACGGUUGUCCAGGUUCAAGUGCGUAGGCUUAAGAGUUAGGUAAAUCCGGCUCUUUUUAAGGCUGAGACACGACGUCGAGCACCUACGGGUGUGAAGUCAUUGAUGCCAUGCUUCCAGGAAAAGCCUCUAAGCUUCAGAUUGUAAGGAAUCGUACCCCAAACCGACACAGGUGGUCGGGUAGAGAAUACCAAGGCGCUUGAGAGAACUCGGGUGAAGGAACUAGGCAAAAUGGUACCGUAACUUCGGGAGAAGGUACGCUCUUGAUGGUGAAGUCCCUCGCGGAUGGAGCUGACGAGAGUCGCAGAUACCAGGUGGCUGCAACUGUUUAUUAAAAACACAGCACUGUGCAAAAUCGUAAGAUGACGUAUACGGUGUGACGCCUGCCCGGUGCCGGAAGGUUAAUUGAUGGGGUUAGACUUCGGUCGAAGCUCUUGAUCGAAGCCCCGGUAAACGGCGGCCGUAACUAUAACGGUCCUAAGGUAGCGAAAUUCCUUGUCGGGUAAGUUCCGACCUGCACGAAUGGCGUAAUGAUGGCCACGCUGUCUCCACCCGAGACUCAGUGAAAUUGAAAUCGCUGUGAAGAUGCAGUGUACCCGCGGCUAGACGGAAAGACCCCGUGAACCUUUACUACAGCUUGGCACUGAACAUUGACCCUACAUGUGUAGGAUAGGUGGGAGGCUUUGAAGCAAGUACGCCAGUAUUUGUGGAGCCGUCCUUGAAAUACCACCCUUGUAGUGUUGAUGUUCUAACGUCGACCCCUUAUCGGGGUUGCGGACAGUGCCUGGUGGGUAGUUUGACUGGGGCGGUCUCCUCCCAAAGAGUAACGGAGGAGCACGAAGGUGGGCUAAUCACGGUUGGACAUCGUGAGGUUAGUGCAAUGGCAUAAGCCCGCUUGACUGCGAGAAUGACAAUUCGAGCAGGUGCGAAAGCAGGUCAUAGUGAUCCGGUGGUUCUGAAUGGAAGGGCCAUCGCUCAACGGAUAAAAGGUACUCCGGGGAUAACAGGCUGAUACCGCCCAAGAGUUCAUAUCGACGGCGGUGUUUGGCACCUCGAUGUCGGCUCAUCACAUCCUGGGGCUGAAGUCGGUCCCAAGGGUAUGGCUGUUCGCCAUUUAAAGUGGUACGCGAGCUGGGUUUAGAACGUCGUGAGACAGUUCGGUCCCUAUCUGCCGUGGGCGUUGGAAGAUUGAAGGGGGCUGCUCCUAGUACGAGAGGACCGGAGUGGACGAACCUCUGGUGUUCGGGUUGUGUCGCCAGACGCAUUGCCCGGUAGCUAAGUUCGGAAUCGAUAACCGCUGAAAGCAUCUAAGCGGGAAGCGAGCCCUGAGAUGAGUCUUCCCUGAUACUUUAAGUAUCCUAAAGGGUUGUCGGAGACUACGACGUUGAUAGGUCAGGUGUGUAAGUGCUGUGAGGCAUUGAGCUAACUGAUACUAAUUGCCCGUGAGGCUUAACCAUACAACACCCAAGGGGUUU